ensembl:lncRNA
GGAAAACAUUUGCCCCAAAUAUCUGCAUAGCUUGUUUCCUCUCUUCCUCCAAGUCUUUGUUCAACGCCAGCUGCACAGUGAUGCCUUCCUUGAGCACACCAUUUAAAUCGUAGAAAAGAACAUGGGAUUUUGUCUGCUACGUUCACUGCUGUAUCUCAACACCAAAGCAAUGCCCAGCACAUUGUAGCCAUGCUGUGGUAUGCUAUCCAGAUCCCCUUUCAGACCAAGGCACUCAUUUCCCCAGCUGCUGGGAGAGUUGGUGGCCGAUGGAGUCCAGCUGAGUCCCUCACCAGGCACAGCUUUCAGCUGAAGACAGUUGUUUCAGCCAAGUUCAUGCCCCUACCCUAGAGAUAAAGGCUAGCCCUCAUCCAAUGACUGACCACUGUUGGAGUAUGACUGCCUCGCCCCCUUGCCUUAAUUUGGGAUGACUCUGUAGCUCCAUCCCAGCUCCAGAGCUCCUAUAGACUCCACUGAGGCCUUGUAAUUGCAUUGCAGUUCAACUCCUCUCUCUGCCCAGUCCCACAUACUUCACUCUCCCGCAGGGAUUGACGCAGAGGGCACUACUCCAGUGAACUUCCUGCACAGAGACCUUCACUUCAGGGUCUGUUUCCCGGGAAACUCAACCCAACACUGUGGGUACCAGCAGGGGUUUGAGGAAGCAGACUCUAAAAAGAGAUUUUGGUGGUGGAUUACCUGGCAAUGAGAAGCCCAUCACUGAUGGCGAGUAGAGCACUGAUAGCUCCUGGCCAUUUGUUAACAUUUUCAUUGGUGCUGAAUUGGGAUGGAAUUCUGUCGGUAGGGAAAGAACCAGCAGGCUCAAUAUCUCAAGCUUUUGAGAGGUUCAGGGGAAGUACUAAUUAUAAGGACAACGCCUCUUGCUGAGGGCUGUUGAUACGUUUGAGAAAGACAAUGAAAGACGGGGGUCAUUAAUCAGCACUUGAAGGCGAAGAGAGAAAGUCAGAGGCUUGCUUGGAGGCAUAUAAAGAGACUCACUUCCUGAAGCCAAAGGGCAGACAAAGCGGAGGACUUCAUGAUAAAAGUAGCAUCCAGAGAGGGCUGACUUCUCAGUCCUGGCAGGGCUGGGAAAGAGCAGGAUCCUGGGACUUGGGAUGAAGACUUGUGGGUUGAUACCCUUGGAAACCUGGAAACCCUUGAGGCCUCUGAGGGAUGGACGCCUCCUCCGUAAAAUGAGAUGAGCAAGAAACCCUGGCCUAGUCCCGUGCUUAGGGAAGUUAACUUCAGGAAACUCCAGCUUUGUGAAGAGCACAGACACUAGUUUAGAUUAUGCUAUGUAGAUUUAAGAAGGCAAUUAUUUUAUUGCAACCUACCUAUAUAUAUUUUUACUUUAUUUCAUCGAAUCAUCAAAAGCCUGUGAGGAAGAUAAAUAAUUGCCAUUUUGGAGUCGUGAUUUUUCUUCGUAACUUCACGCCCAGAGCUUCCACAGCCGUGUAGCUCAGUGGCAAAGAGCUUGUGCUCGCCAGACUGCCCACACCACGUCCUGGCUCCUCCACUUACUGUGCAUCCUUGGGCAAGUUCUUGAUGCCUCAUUCUCCUCAUGUGCAGCAAAUCUAACUCCAGAGGGCCAGAAUACGUCUGUCCAUCCUCUUUCUGUCCUUGAACCUGAGACUUAGUCAUCUGGAACCACAGCCUGCUUAAUGAAAUUUCCUCGCCGAUUCUCCAUUGAACAUUAACGCAUUUUGGAGUUCCCUUUUCAUCUCAGAUGAGGAAACUGUUCACUUCUGCU